UACGGAGGGUGCAAGCGUUAUCCGGAUUCACUGGGUUUAAAGGGUGCGUAGGAGGGCAGGAAAGUCAGUGGUGAAAUCCUAGGGCUUAACUCUAGAACUGCCGUUGAUACUACUUGUCUUGAAUAUCGUGGAGGUGAGCGGAAUAUGUCAUGUAGCGGUGAAAUGCUUAGAUAUGACAUAGAACACCAAUUGCGAAGGCAGCUCACUACACGAAUAUUGACUCUGAGGCACGAAAGCGUGGGGAUCAAACAGG
rnacentral:rRNA from 1 species